GGUCGCGGUGCAUACCUCAAUCACUAUCUAUCUAUCUAUCUACUCGACUCAGUUAUAUAAAAAUUAAAGUAAUUCAACUAAACUGCAAUUUGGUAAUACGAAUUACAACUAAUUUUUGUUGAAAUUUCAUUGAUGUUCAUAAUCUAAUAAGUGAGAAUUUAGUAGAUAAAUAAUAGUCGAUGAAUUUGGAAAAAAUAUUUAAAGCAAUGCAACUCAUUAUUGUUGGGGAAAGGGUCAUUAAAUAUUAAAAUAUACAUGGUUUUUUAUUAUAUACUACUAAGGGCCGUUUUCUCAAUGUCUGGUUAAUAUUAUCCUUAACUGCGGAUAGCUUAACUGGAUGAUAGAUUUUACUGACAAAACCGUUUUCACCAAGUUGUAGUUAGCUGACCUACAGUUAGUUUGAUUAUUGUGCCUAGCGAGAACAGUUCACAAAACUUACAUUGUGAAUACGCAAACUGUUUAAACGUCAUGAGCCAUGUAUGUGCACGCACGACCCAAACCGGGUUUCGUACGCAAAUGGACGACGAUGACAGGCGAAGAGACCGUGCAGCUCGUACUCAGAAGACAUGCUUUGUGUUCUUUUCUUAACAUACCUUUUCAUUUAAAAUUUCUUUUCGUGGUUGCAACAGCGCUCGGUUUCAAAGGAAUAUUUACAUUGUAUGUAAAUCGAAAAUUUGUUUUGUAUGUAAUAUCCAUAUAUAUACAUGUAGGGAUAUUCAUAAUAUACAAUGAUAAUGAGCGACGAAAGAGCCCCCGUCUGGACGACGUAUUUUCUUAUAACAGCUGAUUUUUCUUGUAGAAUUUCUAGCUGAUAGUGGUCAUUUCAUGUUCUGGUUUGAAAUUAACCAAACCUCCUUCUUUCGGUAAAUUUUACUAGAACUUAACUGACAGAUAGUUGCUAACCGUUUUUCAACAUGAUGCCAAUAAAAUGUGUGAAAUGGAAGACAGGAAAUCUCUGCUAGAAAUGCUGGACUUCUGUCUCUUGUAUGAACGCACUGAGCGACACCAAAAGAGAAUUUGCCGAUAAUGAGUGGAAAAAAUACCACAUCUGAACGCCGACUUACUAAGCGAAAUGGCGCGGGAAAUUUCGGGUGUAAAUGUGUCGGUAGUUAUAAUUGGGGAUUCGGUUUUUGAUUUAGCAAACCACUGAUGAAACCGUAUCCAUUUGGCUUAAAUCAAAUUCAUCAAGAAAAGAUUCGCUUAUUACUAAGGGCCCGGGUGCCGAGAUGGUCAAUGAUGAAAGCUAGAUUGUCGACAUCGUCACAACUGAGGACGAAGGUAGGCAAACCGGUGAUGACAACGGAUAUGCGGCAACAAGAAAUGAAGAAGACGCAGCUGAAUCUAACAAAAUUUGCAGCGGUUCUGAGAGAGUAGAAUUGCACAUUGAAGUAUUGAAUUUUUAAAAAUAUACAUAUGUAAAUAUAAAUUAUAUACUCAAUUAAAAAAACACAGGUUUCUUACUCUGGAAGCUUUCUUCCGCUAAUCUCGAAUUUAUGUAUUUAGAACGGAAGUAACUUAAAAUUUGCCAUUAAAAUAAAAAUAAAGUAACUAAAGAUUCACAA